CCAAAAUCAGACCUUGGUUCCAUCGAUACACCGCUCGCAGGUACCCUCGAAUCCUCUCUCCCUUCCUGAUCUACGUACUCACGUCCCCUCUUUUGAUUCCAUACAUAUGACUUCUCUUUCUUCUCUCUGCAGAUUCUUUCAAUAUAUUCCUAUGAGGUGUUUGAUGGAACUACAACCAGGUGUUCAUUCUCAGUAAUUUGUAUUUUUCUAAAAAUUUGUUCACGUCAAAAAUAACAAGUUCAGAGCGUCUAGCUUCCAUGUUCUGUAUUGAUGGAGACCAUGAAGUUUCUAAUCCAUAUUUAUUCAUGGAUUUCUAUUUAUCUCUAUAAAACAAGGAGGACAAUGAAGAUGGUGUUGUGUUGCUUUGUACAUGUGAGCAACAUAUUGCAGAAAUGUUUUCUGCACGCGAGGACAUGGCCCAUUUAUACAAUCAAGCAUCAAUGGUUACAAGAGAAUGGAUGUUGCCAUUUCCGCUCUUGGUUUUGGUCCUCUUAUGUAAGGCUUCGGUGGCAGUCUUUUGUUUCCCUUUUAAUUAGAAUAUUUAAUAUGUAUGAUGUCCAACAUGAACCACUGAAAAUGUACUGGUUUUUUCCUCGCAUCACAUCAUGGUAAAAUAUUUGAAGUUUCUUUUCAUGGUUGAAGCAUAGCUUGAAUCUGCUAGACCAUUGCAGUUUUAUAAGGCAAAGGAUUUAUAUUACAAAAUAUUAAUUCUUGAGUUACAAGUGUAUAUCAUUUCCUAAGACUGAAUUUUUUAUAUAUUUUUGGGUCCUGGAAAUUGAUUGGUUGAGCUUCCUGUAAUUUUGCAUUUGUUGCAGUCUCCCAGUACUAAUUAGCUACUAUAAAAUUAUAUUGCUCAUAAUAAGAAGAAAAAUAUCCGAACCUUCUAUUUGUUAGGGCUGAUUUUAAAACUUAGAUAAGAUGUCUACACCCCAAUAUAUACAAAGAACAAUUCACGCUACAUGGGAGCUCUAAUGUUUUGCAGCCACUUAUUAUUUCUUCUUUGAGAUUUGUUUAAUUCUAAUAAUUUAUUUGGUAGGGCUGUACAAGAGUUGUCUGGUAUGCAUAGCUGCACUAAUUCUUGACAAGCCAAGUUAGUUAUUCUGUUGUUUUCCCCAUCUGAUGGAUUAAUACUGGAAAAAUCAUGCCCCAUUUGACUGAUCUGAAGCAUCUGCAGAUCCAUGAAUAUGCCUUCCUUGCUUUUACUGCUCGUGUAAGUAUUUGUGCUUCUGUAUCUGAAUAGCGUUGUCUAUGUUUCAGAAUUAUCUUGCAAAAUAUGGUACGUACAAUGGCAGGGUUUCGAUUUGAGUUUCUCUAAAUUUGAAAUGCUAGGAAUAAUAUUGUACCAACAGCUUUCUUCUCGGAAUUACUUUGUAUUAUUCUUUACGAAAAGAGUUCACGAAAUAGGUUAAAGAAUGGACGUUACGACUUCAGUGGCCUUCUUUGCUGUAAUUAGUUUGAAUUAUUUUUUAUGGAUAGAGUUCAGGAAAUAGGUUAAUGAUAGUCUCCCCUUGGCAUGAACCAAUCAAGAUGAUAGUUAAAAGUUAAAAGAGUGUCCAGAUAAAUAAAAGGGCCUUCUUGUAUGAAUUAGUUGGUCUUUUGAUGAGAGGUUUAUGAAUGUGAUGCCUACUAGAAUUGUAAAAGAGACAUGAUAAAGGCUUCACAGUUCACUGGUAUUUCUUUCUGUUACACUCAAGUGAAAUCUGACAUGGGACUAUUAUUCUUGGUUAAAGGCGCUAUUUUUGGUUGCCAAUUAUUUUUCGUCCGGAUGAACUAGGUUCUGAGCAGCGUGUACUAGAAAGCAUGAUCUGGGUUUAAUGUAUUGUCUACUCUGUGUAAGAAAUUUAACUUGAUGAAUAUGAGUGAUGUCUUUUUCUUGCUUAUAUAUGUUUGUUUUUUAAUACAACACUAUUACCAUAAGAAGGUAGCCUCAUUAAUAUUGUCAUUUAUGUGAAACAAAUCUACAUGUAUUGUGGUAGGAGUAUAAAAGAGAGACAUAUGUUCACCUCACCAUGCUCUCUAGACGGAAUCAUCACAAAGAUUGCAGAAGCUGAUAGGACACUCGGGUUGGAUCUAUUUUGGUUAGAGGACACAUGAUACAAGCAUAUCAGAUAUAGUCUCCCAUGAUACAUCUUAAUUCGAUUUUCCUUUUUAUGAUGGAUUCCGGGGCUGAAUUACCGCUGAGUGGUUAGUGAUGGGGUUGAUUUUCUUGAUGUUAUGCCUUUUUGUCUGGUACAAAUUUAGUUCCGAAAUGCUAAUUGGUUAUAAACUAAAUCAUUGUUUCCUCAUCAUAAAGGAACAACAUUUUGGUUCUCCGUGCAAUCUAGCGAUUGCUCUUUAGGCUUAUUGAGAAGAGUUGAGGCCUAUUGCCAUGCUGCCCAAGAUUACAGACCAAGUUACCGGUAUAGGCUACACAGAGCAGUUUUUGCCCUCUGCCCUUAACUUGACCUAAAAUUUGUGAACUAAUCCAUGGGGAGUACUUGAGAAAAAUCUAUAUUAAAAUUAGUGAAGCACCAAUAUGGAUUGUAAUUGUUUACUGUAUGAGUAGCAUUUUGCUAAGUAGUAUUUGGCAAUUGCCUAAAAUUAUCUUUAGUUUGUAUUGUUAGUUUCAUGGAACUUUGCGGCAAGCUAAUUCUGUCCCACCAUGGAAGCUCACUUCCGUGAGGAAAUUGUUUGAUAUUCAAUGAUGUGCCCUUUCCCAAAAACCUUAAUCGUGAAUUCUAGAAAAUAACCUUAAUUGGUGUUCCUCCACACAGUUGUAAACUAAGCGGUAUGAUUGGAUGGUAUUUGAUGUUGAAUGCUACUCCAAAGAAAGGCAUCUCAUAUGUUUGGAGGAGUAUUCUCUCAAAGGCCUGAGUUUUCUGAAAAUAGGAUUCAUCUGCCGAGUGGGCAAUGGUGAAAACAUAAGCGUUUGAUCAGAUCCAUCGAUUCCUAGAGGGAGCACACUCAAAAUCAAGGCAUGUGAAUCCGUUGGCUAGAAGAUGAGAUGUGGAGCUUUUCUGACAACACUUUGGCCUGAAGAUGCUGAUAUUAUUCUCAAGAUUCAUGUCCAAGAAGACACAGAGGAAAAGAAAUCUUGCUUUUACUGGAAAAAGCUAUGACGCUCUCUCUCUUUCCCAAUAAGGUGUUCAGCCUACCCCUAAGAAUGAAGCUCUUCAGGAAAGAAAGGAAUGCUGGCAUGAUGCAAAAAUAAAAUAGCUCACACACCAACCACGGCGCAAGUGUUGUUUCAGUAUUAACAUAUUUCAGAUCUCACCAUAACUUCUUCCCAGCUCAUGUGUGUCUUUUAAAGCAAUAUCGCCAAAGUUCAUUGAACCAAUUGGAUAAUUCUAUUACUGUAGUACCAGUCUGCACUCCCCAUUGCUAAAAAUUCGCAUAGUAGAAACCUUUGGCACGUUGUGUUUUUCAUCAAUCCAAGAAAAAAGGCCCCGAUGUCUAAGAUUCUGUAGUGUCAUUUAAAUUAUGUACUUCGUGAAGUUUAGUUGAUCAGGAUUAUGAUGGCAUGCUUUAAUGAAAUUGUUCAUUCUGUUGUAACUAAUUGUACACACAUUUAUUGCAUCAUGA